UGGGGAAUAUUGCACAAUGGGCGCAAGCCUGAUGCAGCCAUGCCGCGUGUGUGAAGAAGGCCUUCGGGUUGUAAAGCACUUUCAGCGAGGAGGAAGGUGGUGAGCUUAAUACGCUCAUCAAUUGACGUUACUCGCAGAAGAAGCACCGGCUAACUCCGUGCCAGCAGCCGCGGUAAUACGGAGGGUGCAAGCGUUAAUCGGAAUUACUGGGCGUAAAGCGCACGCAGGCGGUUUGUUAAGUCAGAUGUGAAAUCCCCGGGCUCAACCUGGGAACUGCAUUUGAAACUGGCAAGCUAGAGUCUCGUAGAGGGGGGUAGAAUUCCAGGUGUAGCGGUGAAAUGCGUAGAGAUCUGGAGGAAUACCGGUGGCGAAGGCGGCCCCCUGGACGAAGACUGACGCUCAGGUGCGAAAGCGUGGGGCAGCAAACAGGAUUAGAUACCCUGGUAGUCCAGCGCUGUAAAACGAUGUCGAUUUUGGAGGUUGUGCCCCUUGAGGCGUGGCUUCCGGAGCUAACGCGUUAAAUCGACCGCCUGGGGGAGUACGG
rnacentral:rRNA from 1 species